UUUUUGCCGCGACUCGAAACCAAGGAAGCGCGGUCGAAUUUUUCCUGAAUUUUCAAAGUUUUUGUCGCAGAAUUAAGGAAAAUUCGCUAAAAGUGUACAAAAAAAUCGGCGCAAAACCACAACAAAAUCGAGAAUAAACUGCUACCACAACAAUUAAAAUGGUUGACAACAAACGCUGUGCAAAAAGAUCAACAACAACAGAAUGCAUCAUUGAGAUCACAUGAAGAUCUGAGAUCUGAUCUGAUUCGAAUGCCGCGAAGGUGUGAAAGUAUAAAGUCAUGUGAACAAAAAUGUGAGAAAAUGUUAUGUGACAAAAGCAACAACAACAACAACAUAACAAA